GGACAAGGGUGUGUCUUUGAUGAGUUUGAAACAGCCAAGAGAGCAAGCGCACACAUUUUUUUCAAGAAAUGUACCUUUCUAUUUGGAAAUGUGCGUAAGGAAAGCGAGAGUACUGUACUUGUGUUCUGGCCACUUUGUAGCCUACAGUACCUGACCUUCCGAAGGACUUCAAGUUGUUGAUCAACUAAAAUGACUUGUGGUUGUCAUCGUGAAGAAUACCGGAUCGUUGAAAAACAUUGAUAUUCCUGUAGCCUACUUUGUUACCCCUCUAAACGUAUACGCAGGCCUAUGUGGAUGUGAGAUAUCUGACGCACAUUUAAAACAUCGAGCGCACAGGUUACCUAAUGGAGAUGGAUUUCCAAAGGCUGCUGUUGCAGGUGGAACAAGCCCUGAACAGAGAAGAAGUACAAGCACUUGCAUUUCUUUGCAAAGAUCUGCUUGAGAAAGACUGUAGCUCAGUGCCCACAGCAAGUCAACUCUUCUCUCUUCUGAUGGACCAAGAACUGUUAACCCCCGAUCAGCCUUACUUGCUUGCCGAUUUAUUAUGUACCAUCCAGCGCCACAGUUUGAUGCGAGAGCUUGGCCUCAACAACCAGCUUCCAACAACCAGUAGCCUCAUCUCUCCUUAUAGAAAACUGCUGUAUGACCUAUCAGAGAACACCACUGAAGACGAGUUGAGAGAGAUUAAGUUCCUAUUGGUUAACAUACUCCCUCGUAGGAAACUGGAGGGCAACGUGACUACCUUGCAAGUAUUCCUGGAAAUGGAGAAAAUUGAUAUUUUGAGCGUCAUAAAACUAAACAUUGUUGAAAGUAUGUUUGGAAGUGUCUGCCCCAUGUUGAAAACAAGAAUCAACCAGUUUAAAACAAAGCAGGGGCCAGUAACCCAAAAAACAGGGGUGGGAUUGUUAAGACCAAGGUCUUCUUCUGCAUGUCUUCCAGAAAACCAGGCUGUCUCCAUGCUUCCAAUGAGACCUGUGUCAUGUGGACUAUCAGUCGAACAACGUGGACAUUCUGACACAAUGUUCUUUCCCUCUUCGUACUUCUCUUCAGCUUCACAGCCUUCAACUGAGGUGUCCACUCUGAAUCCAGCUGACACCUCUCUGGAUGUUCGGAGGGUCUCAGAUACAGCGGAUGCAGUACUUUCACAUAGGCUGGGUCUCCUAAGUACCAGUGGGGACAACGAAGCUGCUCUCAGCCAAGGGAAUCACCAUGUUUCAUCCAUACCCUCACGUGGACACAAUAAGAACUUUGACCCUGCAAAUCGUCAGAGAGGAAACACCACAAAAGAGGAAGUGGGAGAAUAUGCUAUGACAGGAAGAAAGAGAGGUUACUGUCUGAUAAUUAACAACUACAACUUCAGAAAUUCUCCAAAACCCCUAAACAAUAGAGAGGGAACACAGGUUGAUGAAAGCAGUUUGGUGAGUGUGUUUGAGUGGCUGGGCUUUGAGACGGAGAUUGAGCCAGACUGCAGCCGGGAGCAGUUACUGUCUCGAGUUGAGGAGCUCCGCAGCCGUGACCACAGCCAGAUGGACUGCCUGGUGUGCUGCGUUCUGAGCCACGGGCUGGAGGGAGGUGUUUAUGGGGUGGACGGGCUGAAGGUCAGAGUCAGGGAGCUCACAGAGCCCUUCUCUGGACUGGAGUGCAGCUCACUGAGGGGAAAGCCCAAGCUGUUCUUUAUCCAGGCCUGUCAGGGCAUCAAGGAACAACAGCCAGUGUUCCUUCAGUCCGAUUGCCCAGGUGCUGAUGGCUCUACUAUCACCAGCUCUAUCUGCACUGAUGCAGUGGUACCCAGAGACUCCAUUCCCUCUGAUGCCGACUUCCUUCUGGGCAUGGCCACUGUCCCUCACUUUGCCUCUUUCAGAGACAUAAGUAAGGGCACUUGGUUCAUCCAGUCAUUGUGCCAGAACCUCAUCAACAUGGUUCCCAGGUUAGUGCCAGAAGCUCAUCAACAUGGUUCCCAGGUUAGUGCCAGAACCUCAUCAACAUGGUUUCCAGGUUAGUUCCAGAACCUCAUCAACAUGGUUCCCAGGUUAGUUCCAGAACCUCAUCAACUUGGUUCCCAGGUUGGUUCCAGAACCUCAUCAACAUGGUUCCCAGGUUAGUUCCAGAACCUCAUCAACUUGGUUUCCAGGUUAGUGCCAGAACCUCAUCAACAUGGCUCCCAGGUUAGUUCCAGAACCUCAUCAACUUGGUUUCCAGGUUAGUUCCAGAACCUCAUCAACUUGGUUUCCAGGUUAGUGCCAGAACCUCAUCAACAUGGCUCCCAGGUUAGUGCUCAGAUGUGCUUGGUUUCUUUAUAUUGUGUCAUUCUGAAAUCCUCUUUGAAAACAUCAGUAAACACUGGACUGUGACAUGCAGAUGUCAGCGUAUGGUUGGUAAAUCAUUAUCAGAUUGAAUUUCCUCUCAUUGUUCUUUCUCCGUCCAGUGGGUAUGACUUGCUGUCCAUCCUGACCAAGGUAAACAAUGAUGUCAGCAGUAAGAGUGAUAACCAUGGUACCAGGAAGCAGAUGCCCCAGCCUGCAUACUCACUCAGGAAGAGGCUGGUCUUUCCCAUCCCAAAAGA